GGGCUCCGGCCUCUGAAGUUCCCAAUUUAAAUGGCGGGCUUGGUAGUCUGAAGAGUUUGUACUCCUUCCCGGAAAACGUGAUUUAAAAGACACAGGGCCUAAAGGAUUAGAACACACUUGUGAGGGGGUCCUAGACUGGCUUCUUGAUGAAGGGCAGAAACCGCAGGGGCCAGCGGCAGCGGUAACUCCUACUGUAGUGUUGACGUUGUGGUCUGCACAAAUGGUAUUUCAAGAGAUCUGCGGCAACCGCGAUGUGAAGUGGAGAUGUCUAAUUUCUGUUGAUAGUCACAGGAGUUGGAAAAACAACAUUGAUCCAUAAAGCCAGUGAGGUUUUAAAAUCCUCUGGUGUGCCUGUUGAUGGAUUUUAUACCGAAGAAGUCAGACAGGGAGGGAGAAGAAUAGGAUUCGAUGUCGUCACGUUGUCCGGCACCCGGGGGCCUUUAUCGAGAGUUGGGUUAGAGCCUCCACCUGGAAAACGUGAAUGCCGAGUUGGGCAGUAUGUGGUCGACCUGACUUCUUUUGAGCAGUUGGCACUACCCGUCUUGAGGAAUGCCGACUGCAGCAGUGGCCCAGGGCAAAGAGUGUGCGUCAUCGAUGAGAUUGGGAAGAUGGAGCUCUUCAGUCAGCUUUUCAUUCAAGCUGUUCGUCAGACGCUGUCUACCCCAGGGACUAUAAUCCUUGGCACAAUCCCAGUUCCUAAAGGAAAGCCACUGGCUCUUGUAGAAGAAAUCAGAAACAGAAAGGAUGUGAAGGUGUUUAAUGUCACCAAGGAAAACAGAAACCACCUUCUGCCAGAUAUCGUGACGUGCGUGCAGAGCAGCAGGAAGUGAAGACACGUGCAUUCCUGCCUUCCGUGAAGGAGUGCCCAGUUCAAGAGGAGCCUGAUGGAGCCCUGCCUGUCGAGGCUGUAUGCCUAUGGGGUUAUGGAACCUUGUGGGCUUUUCUAGAGAAAACUCAACAGCUGUUUCCCAUAAAAUGUUUAAAAGAUCAAAUUAGCCUUAAUGCUGGAUUGUCUGUACAAGAUUAACUAUCCAUUGUGGCUUAUCUAUGCUUAAAGAUUUCUUGUUUAUUUCCUCUUGCAGUCAUGCACAUGAUUUGGGUAAACUGUGAGAUGAGAAAUGGUUUUCAGAGUAUUAGAUGGAAUUCACCCCCGUUGAAGUUUAUAAAUGUGUUCAGGGGAAGCGGGAGGAAAGAGUUCACUGCCUAAUCAGUUUUGCAUGUCAUGAAAAUUAAAUUCCUCUCCAGGUGCAGCUUCAGCCUCAUGCAACUUAAAGUGAUAACAGUUAUUUGAUUUUUUAAAAAAUAUUAUUCCAAAAGAAAACCAUUUUAGGUCAUCUCCCCCAACUCUGUUUGCUUACUGCUUAAUAAAUAUAAAAAUAAAUCUGAUGGUUACAGACAGGAGGCAUUGUGUGGGAGGAAUACACAACCUUUGGAAGUGUUGAUAGCAUCUGAUAUUCAGCCGACCAGAUGACAAGAGCUCAGGCCCACGGGUUUGCAUAAGAGCACUGCUUUGCCUUAGUUUACUCGGGAGCAAUUUUGAAUCUUUCUAUGCCUAGUUUCCCUUCCAGAAAAGCAGGAAGUGGCUGUCAUCUCAGGAGUGAUGUCACACCACAGAAGGAAACUGUCAACCACUCCACACAACUGUGGAGAGUGCCCAGUGCCAGGGGCUGGGCUUAUCAGGAAUAAUGGUGUAGCAAUGCGGAGUUCAGCCCAUAACAGGGGUACUAUAAAAAUGAAGUAGGAAAGUAGAAGAGACCCCUGAAACCCCAGAACUGAUAGAGGAUAAAAACUUCCCUCCAAGUGGUAGAUGGUACUGGAGUGAUAAACAGUUCAGUGUUUUUAGGUCAUUUUUGGUGAAGAUCUAUGAAUUUCCAGGAUUUUUUUUUAACAAAUUAGCAUUGGCUACAAACCCACUGGUAUAAGCAGCAGUGUGCCUUCUCUCUAACUGUGGACAAGUCGGGCAUGUGGCGGGUGAGGAGCCCUGGGCUGGGCACUGGGGCACAGUGAAUGGGGCGGGAGGGGCUCACAUCAAAACCAAAAUGGCACGCAGCCCAGGUCUGGUUCCUCCAUCAGUGUCUCUUUCCUCAGCGCUUUUCUUCCGAGGUAACUUUGUGAAGCUUGACUUGGACUUGCCUAGCCUUGGAGGGACCACAACAGGGAGGCCUAAUAGAUUAUGAACUAAGCCCUCAAAAGGGCUACCUGCCCAGGAGGAGGAAGUGGGCAUCUCCUUCCACAGUCCCUGCCUGGCGGGGCUGUUCAGGGAGACUGAGUUCCGAGCUCAGGAUGUCUGGCAGGCUGGCUGUGACUUCCAGCCACCAUCACCAGGACACCGGUGUGGGCUGCAUGCCUCAGUGGGCCAGGAGAGGCACGGCCUCUGAGUUGGGUAGAGGCUUCCCACAAAGGCCUGGGAACCUGAUCCUGGCCGUAAAUCUGAAAGUACCACAGCCCUCAGGAGAACCAAGAGAUAGGGAGGCAGGCUGGGGAAAUGUCAUCAAUGUGCACCCAGGCGUGGUGGAGCUGGUCAGCCCCAGCUGGAGUGGGACCCCAUCAAGAUGGAGCCUUUCCUGGCACCUCCGGGAGGCCGUUUUGCGUUUCCGCCCUUCAUGCAUCUGAAACACCAAGGGCCAUGUUCCUUCUGGUGCUUGUCCUUUUGAGCUUGGUGUUUCAGCCGUGUCUGUUUUGUAGACUUUGAUUUUGUCUUAAAUGAGAAAGAAAGCUGGUGAAGGUUAUUUCAAAGUUAAAUAGCUAGUCUGAGGGGCUUAUCACUGAAGCCAGUUGUGCUUAUGUGGGGUGGGAGUGUCACUGCCUACUUGAAAGUAUGCACUUGUGUGGAACAGAUUCAGGGUGGCCCCUAGCACUUGGGGCUGCGGGAGCUUCUGCACACUUUCCCUUUAACGGUAAAGAGACAAGCUUGGAGUGUUUAAGUGGUUCGUUCAGGAGCACAGUGAUAGCGGUGACAAAGGAGAUUUGAACCCACGUCUGCGUGGCUCCAAAGUUCACUCUUUCAUCACUCCCUGCUGCGUCCUUCUUGAGGCUUUAGCAUUUUUAGUGUGUUUUGUGCCCCCAGACCUCAGAGUUGACAUUUAGCAGUGAUAAACUGCUGUAAAUCCAAAGAACGUUUAGUGUCUCUUGUGGUGAGGUCCUGAAAUGAUUGUUGUAUUAGUCAAACAGAAUGAUCAUGGAGCAUGUAUGGAGAUGUCAGAUGCAAUCCCUGUAUUGUAAGGCAAUGACAUUUAAUGAAGGAUAAGAUGAAUUCACAGAUAACUAGAACUCAGGGCCAAACGCACACAGCCUGUAGCAACAGUGUCAUGCUGAGAUUUAAAGGAAGAAGAGGUGCCGUGGCAGAACUCCACGUGACCGUCCCCUCCCUGCACGCAGCCAGGAUGAGAGGAGCAGAGCUGAGCGCCACCUCCCUGUCGGUGCCACGGCUGAGGUGAGGAGCUCUUGCCGGAUGGUGGGGUGGGGGCAGCAGGGCAGAUUGAAGUCAGGGAUUCUCUUAUACCUGAGUUUGGAAUGCCUCCUAUUCAAACAAAGCAAAAUAUCUAACAGAUGGUUGGAUAUGAGUCUCAGGGAGGAAUUCAAUUUGAAAAGCACAGAAUUAACAUGUAUUGCUUAUAUGAAGAAUCUCAGCUAGAAUAACAAGGUCGGAUGGGAGGAAUCAGGACUGAUUUGAAGCACGAUUUACUAAAUCAUUCUUUCCUUUUCCUCCUUAGCAGAUCAUACCGCCAGCUGCUUAACACGUAAUAGUUUAAUAAAUUGUUUCUUCUUACCUCUCAGUGAGGGUAAGCACAUGCAGGGAGAUGGGUGAGUCUUUUAAAUGGAUAGUGUCAUCUCUGAUGAUCAGCCUUGACAGGGAGAGAUCCUAGUAAAGCUGCAAAUUCAGGCACUCAGUUCCCAGCCCUCCAGUUAUCAAGGGGGUGGGAACGCUGGUGGGCUGGAAAAUGUGGAACAGACCUGCUCCUCUUCUUUUCCUGCCAAUUACCGUAUUCAUAGAAGGUUGUGUCUGUGGAUCACACCUGUGUGUGUGCUGAUGGCGGAUGCUUGUGUAGCAUAGUGACUUGGGACAAAACAGCAUGGUAGAUGAGGCUGGAGACGGGUGGGCUAAGUAAACAGGCAUUGCAUUGCACAUUUUGUGGGCAAAGAAGUUGAAGCAUCGCAUGAUUUUAACAAAUUACUUGCCAGAUGAUUUCAACACACUGCAAAAUUUAGAAUCAAUAAUGCCAAAUUGGCCACAUGAUUUAUAUAAAACCAAGUGCUAUGGUUUUAAUAUUAUCUUUAGAGGAGAAACCAUUUUGAUCUGUGUCCAAAUAACUCUUUUUUUUUUUUUUUUUUUUGAGACAGAGUCUCACUCUGUCGCUUGAGCUGGAGUGCAGUGGUGCUAUCUCGGCUCACUGUAACCUCCGCCUCCUGGGUUCAAGCGAUUCUCCUGCCUCAACCUCCUGAGUAGCUGGGAUUACAGGCACCCGCCACCACGCCCAGCUAAUUUUUUGUAUUUUUAGUAGAGACGGGGUUUCACCAUGUUGGCCAAGCUGGUCUCGAACUCCUGACCUCAUGAUUUGCCUGCCUCAGCCUACAAAAGUGCUGGGAUUACAGGCGUGAGCCACCGUGCCCAGCCCCCAAAUAACUCUUGAACUGGAAAAUAACUCUUUAGCUAUAUACUGGCAGAAUAUUUGAACAACUCUAGCAAGAAAUGUCAGUUUAGGGAUGCCUCCUCUAAAUGGGGGCUUAGAAUAUAACAUUUUGCAGGAAGUCCUUUCUGAUACAUAGCUGACUAGAUGAAGGACCAGAUUAACAAGUUCAUGAGUUGUAAAUAUAAAAGUUGUGUACCACGAUAAAAAAGAAAAAGAAGUAUGGCUGCACUGUUGAUGGCUGGUCAAACAGCCCCCAAGAAUCCUGGGGUGACUCCAAUACUGCCACCUUUUCUCUGUGGGUGCAGUUGCCUGCGGAUGUGUGUGCACAUCUGUGCCUCGGUAUGCACACUCGAGAUGCCCGCUCUCAUAGACGGUGCAGAGCGUCACUGCAUUCCUAUCUGAUUAAUGUGACCUUAGUGUUGUAGAUACACUGUGUCACUUUCAUCCUCCCUCCUCCCCACAAAAGAUGCCACGAGAACUCGUGAACUGUGAUAAGCAAUGAACAGAAUAACUGUUGAAGAAGCACCUCAUGAACCUCCCCAGAGAAACGGGAUGGAGGAGCACCCAGGGUGCUCUUGCUCUCUUGCCUGCGCUGCCAUUUCCUUCCAGCCUGGGUUUCUAGCUCUUUGGGGAGAUUCCCCGUUUUGUGGAAUGCUUUCUGUGUUUCCUACUUCUGGAUGCCUAAGGAGUGGCCAGUCAUACUCCUGGCUGACCACUGCCAGGCACCGUGGUUUUCCUCACUGAACUCAAGGAGUCACCCUCCGUGGGGAGGCCACACUCACAGCUCCAGGCCUGCCAUUUAGCCCUUGGGGCUUGGCUGUAAAGUUGCCCAAGAGGAUUACAGGAGCUGCCAGCCAAGUUUAAUUUGGCCACCUUAGAGAACUGCAGCAAGGCCCUAUCAGCUUCCCAUUAGACAAACAACUGCAUUUAAAUUAAAUAAAGUUUGCACCUCUAGGGAGUGCUGACCUGAAAAUAAGAACCUUCUGUCUGUGAUUAUAGAGUACACUUGCUUUUAUUAAUUGCUGAUUCUUAGUUUACAAAAAAAAAAAUUAGAAAAGCAUUACCAUUUACUUUCCAAGGGGCAAGAGAUUCUCUACAAUACCCUUCCCCCAACCCUCUCCUCAAAUUUCCAAAUCCUAAAUACUUUGAAGAAAUUUGUGUGACUGUUUAAAAUUGAGUAUUUCCUUCUAACUAUUGUCUUUUGAAAAGGGAUGGUUCACCAGGCCAGUGAUACUCUAUGGACUGCAUUUUGGGACCUCUACCCCAGCAAGGAUACAGGUUCCUGGGGUCUUGAAGAUGGGAAAAGUUGUCUCAGAAUUUACCCAAAUGUCGUUCUCACCAUAAAAGAUAUACUUGUAGAAAUGAGAAGCUUCAGUAUAACUCAAAACACUGGACGCAGCAAUAACUAUAAACAUUUUAAUUUCAAAAACAAAGGUGUGUGCGAUGUUGUGUGCACAGUAAGGGUUGCGGGGCUUGGAGAACAAGCACGCGUCCCUGUGAAGCCCGCAGGGUGCUGGCGGCCCACCAAUCGCCUGGACUACAGUGAGGAGCAUUGUGUGACUCCGCGGUGGAUUUCCAUGCACCGAAUGGACUCAGUUUCUAAACUCACAUCCUAACGUAUCCUGGCUUUUCACAGAAUACUGGAGACAUGACUGCAUGCAUGAUCACGGUUCUUGUUGUGAAGCUGCCACCAUGUUACGCUUAACAGCUGCAUAAAUAUUAUAAAGAAAUAGGGUUUUCUUGACACUUAGAUUUAACCUUAAUGCAUCUGCCCAGCUGAUGGUAUCAGACGUGCUGCUGUUCAUUUCUUUUUCAUGGUAACAGUAAUGUAUAAAGUGCCGAUGAUGUAA